UGUGCCUUGUACUUAUUUGGAUCAUUUCAUAUGAUGCUUGUCUUUUAAGUCUUUUGAUUAUCUUAUGUGGAACUUGCUCUUUGUCUAAAAUAAUUAUGCCUUUAUCCUUCCUUGGUAAUGUUGCAAAUGAAUCAUAGCAUUUCGUCCCUUCAAAACUAAAACAGAAGUUAGCUAAAAAUUUGCGGCGCUGUUGCCUUUUCUGUUUGUGUGCUGAAGCUAUAUGAGAGUUGAGACCUCCUUCAAUCAGCUCACAAUACUCCAGGGGCAAUUCCAAUCUCCCGUUAUUAUUUUUAUUAAGGCCAAAGAAUUUGUUUCCAAUAUUACUCUUUCAACACAUAGAUCACACACUUCCUUCAAAGUCGUAGCCUCAACAAAUAGACUAGUGGAGUCUGCCAUCCUUCUUCAUAGAGCAUUUUGAGUGUCCCCUUCAUCAUUUUCAAUACAAAAUGCUAUAGAACUUGGACCAGGGUUUCCUUUAGAAGCACCAUCUGAAUCACAAGUAAACCAACCUUGGUUAGGUAGUUUCCAACUUUACAGGUACAGAUUUUAUCACAGAUUUGUAUUUUAGAAGAAAUUCCAUCAAAAGGGGUCAUUCUUGUGGGAUGUUUUUCAUCCAUAGAUACAAAUAAGGGUUAAGAGAUAAGUGUUUUUAUAAAUAUCAUAGAUCACUGUCGUCCAAGUCAUAGGCAAUCCCUGCUCCUGAAGCCAACGCGGAGCUGCAAGUUAAUAUUGAUGUAUGUCAUUUAAGAAGCUUAUUAAUUCUUAUGUUUUACCAUCCAAUGCUUGUAAAAUUGCAUAUGCAUAAUGUGAACCUGUAGGAUCAGUUCCCACGUGAACCUAACAGAACAAAGAUACUAAUAUGAAGAUGGUCAUAUUUUCAGCUUUCAGUUUAUUUCUUACCCAGGAUUAAAUAGGUCUACUCUGUGUUGCCAUGUUAUAAUUAUAUUGCAAGGAGAUUAGAAAACAGUUGAGAUUCUGAGGUCUACAAUUCUCCAACUUAUAUUGUUAUCUUUGCAUUGGGCUAAUUACAUUCCAAAAUACAAACAGUACAAGAUAUUGCUUUUCAAUUAUUUGCAGCUGGAGUAGGUGGUUGUCUGCUGAUGUCAUGAUUGUCAAAACUACCCCUUGCUUUUCCAAUUACUUAUAUAUUAUACACUCUACUCCUCUAAUUCCAUUUUAGUUACCUAAUCAAUGCUUAUUUUACGUUGCAACAUCUGGAACUAGUACUCCUUGCAUUAUAAUUUAUAUGGUACCUCCAUAAUUCACCUUAUUUCUUCUUUUCCAUAACUGCCAGCAUAUCAUACCAAGAAUAGGUAAUUGAUCCGACCCCGUUCUAGUUAAAUGAUCCACCUCCAUAGUUGAGAACCAUUCCAUAAGAUGCGAGUUUGCAAAUAUUCUAUCCAACCUUCUGUUAAGAAUUCCUGUGUGUUAAUAGAUCUGAUAUUCCAAACGAUAGCUUUCAUCAUCAUCUAACAACUUUGUUUGUGAUCCCUCUUUGAGGAAAAACUCUUGCAGGUUGCUGAUUUUCAAAGCAUGUCUGCUUUUUUCCUCUUUUAACAAAUUUAUAUAUACUUGAAUGCUGCCUUUUGCAUAUAACAGGAUGAUAUACAAGCAUUUUUAGGCCAAUAUUGAUUAGUUGAUAAUAUUCAUUGAUAAAUCUAUUGAAUAUAGAAGAAAAUAUCGCUAUCCCUUUCCUUUGUUACAUUCUUUAUUCGAGCCAACCUUGCCAGUUAACAUACAGGUGGAAGGAGCUCAUAUACCUAUAUAACUCGAGGCGUGCACCUCGCGGACUCGGGGCGUGCGCCAAUCAGGGAUUUGAACCAUUGAAAAAGACAGAAUUCUUCAUCGAGAAAUAGGUGUCUUGGAGAGCAUUUCAAGUUUAAGAAUUCUUUAGAGGAAAACACCCUCUUCUUCUGAUGUUUCCGAGCCGUUGGUACAUCGUAGUUUGUCGGAGCUGAUCUUCUCUGGGUAAGAAGUCUUCAAGCUGGUUGUUUCAAUUUGCUGCACAAAAAGAGGUUGAAAGUUGAAGGUUUGAACUUGAACCUCUUUGAUCCCACUGUUGGUUGCUGCUCAAUUGGAAUGUUUGAAUGUCGUACUGAUCUCCUCCCUCACUCAGAAUGAUUUAGUCUCAACCUUUCUUUGUUCCUUCCCCUAAAUUUCUAAAGUGUCAUCUUGUUUUCUUUAGUUGAGAGUUAUUCGUGGAAUGAUAAAUGAUUAAGAGGGUGCUCAUGGUUAAGUUUUAAGCUUUAAAUAUGUUGUGUUGUUUCUUUUGUUGUUAGCUUUAUAAUCAAUUUUUGUAUGUAUCCAAUUUAAAUUUUGUUUCAUUACUGCCUAUGGCUGAAACCUUGCUGCUCCUGUAUCUUUUUUUAUAGUCUCUAUUUUCCACUGAGGUUUGGUUCAAAUUAGUCAGUGAUCCCUCAUUAAGACAUUUUUAAUGUGUUUGAAAGAUGACAUAAUGCUUUCAUUUUUAAUAAGAAGACCACCAUAUGCUCUUUUCUUGUUACUAUCUUGUUGUUUUAUAAUGUUUGUUUUUGGGUGCUGAUUUUUCUCAAUUUUGCAUCUCUAGCUAACUUAUUAGCAUACAUUUGCAUUCACAAUGUGCCAUAUUUAGCUCUCUUAUUCUUAUGUGGUUAGUGUUUGGGCACUGCUGUAAUUUUUUUUUUUUGGCUUCCAUGGUGUUAACAUUCAUAUAUACAUCUGCAGGUGUUCCAUAGGUUGAAAUGGCUCCAUAAAAGCUUAUAAGAACUUAUGAUGUCUAUUUAACAUUUGCAAUCUCAAAAGAAUUCCUAUGUGUUGAUAUUCCAAAAGAUAGCUUUCAUCAUAUCAUCUAGCAACUUUGUUUAUGAACCUCUUUCUGGCACAAGUUUUGCAAGUUCCUGAUUUUCUAAGUUUGUCUGUUUUUUUCCCCUUUUUAACAGAUUUAUAUAUACAUGAAUGCUACCUUUUGCAUAUAAUA